AACCUUUCUUGGCCUUCUGGCUAAGAUCGAGUGUAAUAUCUGUUCUUAUUAGUUUAAUUUAACAUUUGAUACGUGGGCCAAUGGCCCACAUGUAUUAAAUUUAUUUUUUUGAGGGGCAGGGUCCACCGUAAUAGCUUGUUAUUGGGCUUCUUGUGUGUUGCACUAUAGCCUGCCUGGCACACCCCAC